CCCACCUGAUUCCAUCCCGAACUCAGAAGUGAAACGAAACAGCGUCGAUGGUAGUGUGGGGUCUCCCCAUGUGAGAGUAGAACAUCGCCAGGC
rnacentral:rRNA from 1 species